rnacentral:ncRNA from 1 species
UCAAAGACUGUGAAGAGGACGAGUACGCGCUGAAACCGCAGUACAGAGAGCAGGGCAAGGUGAGAGCCUGCCUGUAUGCCAGCGAAGAAUGGGCCUUGGAGUUGCAGGGCGAAGGAACCAGAAGGUUCUUGUAGCCUGUGCCGGAGAUGCCACCGUUAUCAGGGUAAAGGAUGUCGAUCAUCAUGGAUCCGCAUCCGCAAGAGUGUGGCUGGCAUUUACCCCGUCGUCAACAUCGGCGGGGUUUUAAUUAUAGCUACAAACUAGGGUGGCACCACGGGCAGCCCCUCCCGUCCCUCAG